UUUAGUUCCUAUUUCGCAAGUUGAUUUUUAAACUCCAUGGAAUUCAAAAACUUGACAAAAGUUCAAUUUUAUUCCAAUUUAAGUGAGUUGAAUGGAGUUGUUCAGACGUUCAACUUUCGAUCAAAUUGAAGGCGUUGCUCAAUUCAUUAGUACCGUUUAACCAAAAACUUAAAACGUUUUCACCAAUGUAUUAGUUGUGCCUAUUCCAGCGAACUUGGUGUUGUUAUCAGUGAGCGUUGCGUGAAAGCCAAAUGGUCAGUGUAAACUACGGCGAUCGAUGCAACGAUGUUUAUAAAUAUCGAACGUAUGUGGAUUUCCAAGCUGAACAACUUAGUUAUCAGUGAAAAAGUACAUUGAGCAAUUAGUUAAUUCAGUAGUGGAUUGACUUUACCGUAUUUCAGAUCGAAAAUGAUAGUUUUGCUAUUAAUUGUAACAAUAGCGUGUUGCAGGAACCUACCAGGUUUAGAUGCUGCCAGUACGCGAUCUACGGAAAACUUUGGCUUUGGUGUUGAGCUAAUUCUCUCCAAGUUAGAGUCGCUGGAGGCAAGAAUAAUGGAAAUCGAGAAAUUCAACAUUUAUCUUAACAAGUCACUGGAAACGCUCCAAUCUUCCUGUUUGAUGCCCUUAAACUUACCGAGCCACAUGGAUUCCGAACCGCUGCUUGAAAACCCUGUGUCAUCCAGUAAUUAUAGACAUUUUCGAAUAGAUGAUCCAAAACCAACCGAAAUCAAACAUAAACCAGGAACGCAUUAUUCGUACACAUCACACUAUAAUUACACUGUUUCAUAUGACAGAAAUAAAACUUCGCCAAGGCCUUGGUUUCAUUAUGGGAGAGAGUGAUCA